rnacentral:rRNA from 1 species
UCAAUAAGCGGAGGAAAAGAAACCAACAGGGAUUGCCCUAGUAACGGCGAGUGAAGCGGCAACAGCUCAAAUUUGAAAUCGGCCCACCGGUCGAGUUGUAAUUUGCAGAGGAUGCUUCUGGGCAGCGGCCGGUCUAAGUUCCUUGGAACAGGACGUCAUAGAGGGUGAGAAUCCCGUAUGCGACCGGCGCGCACCCUCCACGUAGCUCCUUCGACGAGUCGAGUUGUUUGGGAAUGCAGCUCUAAAUGGGAGGUAAAUUUCUUCUAAAGCUAAAUACCGGCCAGAGACCGAUAGCGCACAAGUAGAGUGAUCGAAAGAUGAAAAGCACUUUGGAAAGAGAGUUAAAAAGCACGUGAAAUUGUUGAAAGGGAAGCGCUUGCCACCAGACUUGACGGCGGGGUUCCGCCGGUCUUCUGACCGGUCCACUCCCCGCCGGCAGGCCAACAUCGUCUGGGGCCGCCGGAUAAGACGUCAGGAAUGUAGCUCCUCGGAGUGUUAUAGCCUCUCGUGAUGCGGCGCGCCCCGGGCGAGGUCCGCGCUUCGGCAAGGAUGUUGGCGUAAUGGUUGUCAGCGGCCCGUCUUGAAACACGGACCAAGGAGUCUAACAUCUAUGCGAGUGUUCGGGUGUCAAACCCCUACGCGUAAUGAAAGUGAACGGAGGUGGGAGCUUCGGCGCACCAUCGACCGAUCCUGAUGUCCUCGGAUGGAUUUGAGUAAAAGCAUAGCUGUUGGGACCCGAAA